rnacentral:rRNA from 1 species
UGGGGAAUAUUGCACAAUGGGGGAAACCCUGAUGCAGCGACGCCGCGUGAACGAAGAAGGUAUUCGUAUCGUAAAGUUCUGUCCUAUGGGAAGAUAAUGACAGUACCAUAGAAGAAAGCUCCGGCUAAAUACGUGCCAGCAGCCGCGGUAAUACGUAUGGAGCGAGCGUUGUCCGGAAUUAUUGGGCGUAAAGGGUACGCAGGCGGUUUAAUAAGUCGAAUGUUAAAGAUCGGGGCUCAACCCCGUAAAGCAUUGGAAACUGAUAAACUUGAGUAGUGGAGAGGAAAGUGGAAUUCCUAGUGUAGUGGUGAAAUACGUAGAUAUUAGGAGGUAUACCAGUAGCGAAGGCGACUUUCUGGACACAAACUGACGCUGAGGUACGAAAGCGUGGGGAGCAAACAGG